AUACAGGGGGUGCGAGCGUUAAUCGGAAUUACUGGGCGUAAAGAGUACGUAGGCGGUUGCUUAAGUCAGAUGUGAAAGCCCCGGGCUCAACCUGGGAACUGCAUUUGAAACUGAGUGACUAGAGUUUAAGAGAGGGGAGUAGAAUUCCGGGUGUAGCGGUGAAAUGCGUAGAGAUCCGGGGGAAUACCAGUGGCGAAGGCGGCUCCCUGGCUUAAAACUGACGCUGAGGUACGAAAGCGUGGGUAGCAAACAGGAUUAGAAACCCUAGUAGUCC
rnacentral:rRNA from 1 species